AGGGCACAGGUCUCCAGACUGCUUCCGGAGAUGCUAAAAGGAGCAAAGUCCCCAUUUCCCUGAGAAGGAAACCGAGGGACAACAGAAUGUGGGGUUGGGGUGUGCCUGGCUAGAAGCUGCUACCUCCUACUCAGACCAUUCCAGCUGCAGUGCUGGCCCCCACCUCAGACCUGGGUGAAGAAGGGACUGCCAGCUUGGUGGCAGAGGACAACUGGACCUCCACCCAGAACAUUUUGACCUUGGGACCCCACCCGUGUUCCCAAAGCCAGGGCUCAAGAUAUCUAGUAUCCCUCUGGAGCCAAGGGAGUUCUCCCGGGGGAAGAGGUUCUCUGGAUGGGCUCACCGCCAACCCCCUGCAGCCGCAAUCCCUGCCAAGGUCUGAGAGGCACACCUGGGGAAAGCUCUCCUCAGCCACCCACUCCCCAGGACGCACUUUCUCCGCUUUCCUGACCUUUCCUCCUGAUGAGCCCGUGUGGUCAGGACAUAACACCCAAUACCUCCGAGUCUCCGGGGAUACAGUUUCAUCCUCUGCCACAGAAGUGACUUCUCUAGGACUGCAGCCUCGCAGGUGACCGCUAGGGACACACAUGCCCUCCAGGCGGCUCUCCGGCCUCUGUAUCAAGCUAACUUUUCUGCCCAUCUCUUUUCCUCACCCAAGGCCUCUACUAUCCAAGAGGACAAAUAACCAGGGAGCUUGUCUCCUCUCCUUUGCGACCCCACUGGCCUUUAUUGCUGAAUCUUGUUGUUUCCUUGAGGGAAGGACUUCUGUUUACAAUUCUUUGGAUAUAAAAGGAAAUAACAGAUUGUAGAAGGCGGGGGCUGGGAGGUAGGGGCAAAGGAAGGGGAUGGAGGAUGGGAGGAGGAGCUCAAGCUGUGCUCAAGCCUCAUAAAGAGAACCUGGAUCCCACCAAAUCUGCCCAAAGCCCAGGAAAGGGCCCUGAGUGUGGGUAUGAGCUGGGCAGGCAGAGGCUGCCAGCAUAGAAUGUGCCCUUGCUUCUCCCAGGUUCUGGGCGAACCAGCCGAGGAAGCCUUUUGCCCUCCCUGGUUGCCCAGAGAGGCCCACAUUCUAAGGAAAGGGGAGCCCAGACUCUCCUAUCUUGAGGCCUUGACUUGUCUACCCAGGUCACCUGUUUACCUGUCAGAAGGGUUAUUCUGUCCCUGGGGAGCUAGAGGGGAUCUGACUUUGCUCCUUGGCUGAGCUGUUCCCCCCAUGCGGGAGAACAGGCUUAUAGAAUCUGCCGGAAGCGUCUCUGCCGCUGGCAUUCCUGUCUGCAUGUCUUCUAGCCCUGGAGAACUCCAGGAUCAAAGACCAAAGGCUAAGUUAUACCAAAAUGGGGGGAGAGAGGAAGGAAGGAAGAAGGAAAGAGGGAAGGAAAUGUUUUUUUCUUUUGCUUCCUACCUCCUGGAAAUGGGCUGGGGGUAAGGGCAGAGACUGAAGCUGGAAGGUUGAUGGGCGUGGGAGAUAAGGGAAAAAGUCAAGGAAAGUCCUAGAGGUCCCCCACCCCAAGAGUUUCCCCUGAAGGCACCACAUACAAACGCGGUCCCCUCUAUGGCUUCUGAGGAGAGAAGAAAAAGGCAGGGGAGACAGGAGAAUCGAGCGAGGGCACGGCUCAGUGCAGGAAAGGGGCCCCUCGGUCUGGCCACCGCAAGACAUUCCCUGAGGAGGGGAGUCAGGGCCUGGGGAACAGGCCUCCCCCGAUCUGUGCCGCUGGCAAGGAGGCGCCGGCAUCACCAACAUGGGUGGGUCAUGGCCAGGGCUGGAGGAAACACUGCUUUCCAGAGAGCAAGAACAGAGGGAACCGCGGGGCCGCCGGCCACCUCUGCCCUCCUCCUCACUGGGAUGACCACCUCAGGCUUGGCCCCACCUGGCCCAGAAGGAUGCUGGGAGGGGGCUGGAAAAGGACUCAUGCCCCGGUUCCUGGAAUCCCAGGAGAGUCUCACACUUCCGCCCCAGAGGCCUUCUCCAGGGUCAGGGCUGCUGGAGGUUCUCUGCUAGAACAGCCAGUUUCCUAUUUAGCAACAGCUCUCCUAGCCCAAGGAGGCACAUCCCUCAUGCGGUUACCCUGAGAAGAGUCCCCCGAAGCUCUCAGGGCAGGAAAGAAGUUUCGCCCCUCGGCCUCCCUGGGGCUUCUCAGUCUCUGGAAGGCAUGCGGCAGGUCCUGGGGUUCCCCCUUGUGUGGCUGGGGCCUCUCUCCAAGGAGGUCUGAGAAUUGGAAGCUAAUGGGUGUGGUGGGCAUGAGAAGGAUGAGAGGCACACAGGAGGCUGAUGCCCUCUGGUGAGAGUCAGGCUGAGAAGAGCACUGGCUAAAUCAAGACUUAAGAUACACACACGGCUUCCUGCUCCAAGCCCCAGACAGAAGCGGGCACCAUCAGGCCGGGGACCUGCUGGGGGCUUGAUGGAGGGGCCCUGGUUCUGCUCACACCGCCGUCUCCCGCUCUCUGUGAACUUCCUCCUUCUUCCUCUUCAUUUUGCAGAAGCCAUGGAGACCACAGAAGCAGGCGAAAGUGAACUGGGGCAUGCCCUACACCAGGCUGGGAGAACACUCACCAGAGAUCUGCAGGGAAAGGCAGGGGAGGGAGAUGGGGCAGGAGAAAGGCAGGAAGAGAGAAGCAAGCUGGGGUUAAUGCUCCCAGAACCCUCUGGGUCUGGCCCAGUCAUUGCCACUCCCUGAGGCGGCCUGCUAGGUCUCUCACACCGGCUGGGGGAGGAGUCAGGCCUCCAAACAACAGCUCUUUGAAACCUCAGUGUUUCCUGAUCUGUGUGGAGCUGAUGUCAUUCCUCACAUUGGAGACUGGGUGAGUCCAAGGGAGGAAAGAGAAAGCCCAGCUGCUGCCUCCUUUUUUCCCCUCCCACCCGCUCUGCCUCACCUCAUCACCAUACACCUGGUUGGGGAACAGGAAGCAAGCUGGCUUAAAAUAGACUCUGGCUUGUGCCACCUUACACAGGUUCCAGCUGGGGGCUUUCACUCGCUUCUGCAGGUCGCACACGACAGGCCCUCCUCCAUCCAAAUGCAGACCCCUUCAUCCAGUGUAGCUUUACUUUGACACCUGGGACCGAGUCAGAUUCCUCCCUUGCUUAACAACCCCAAGUUGUCUGACACCCUAGGAAAGCCUAUAGGGAGCGAUUAUGCCCUUCCUUUGACUGCUCAGAGCAAUGCAAAUCCCAUCCUCACCAUGCAGAGAACAGACAGCAAAGAGGGUUCUUUUAGCCAACAGGCUCUUUUAUUUAGCACCUAUGCUGGGCAAAGGGGUUGAGAGGUAGAUGUAAAAGGGUAAAGACAUGGUUCUUCCCUGGCACAUAAGUCUGAGGCAGAGGCUGAGGCUGGAUCUGCCCCAGCUGGACAUGUCGUCCCCCACCUCUGGCUAACCCGGCCCUCAGCAGGAGCCAGGGGCCGCUCUGGUAUCUGUGGCAGUCUGGCUGGGGAAGAGAGGGAGCUUCGGGAGCUCAGCUUCAGUCUGCAAGAGUAUCCCUUUCUACAAAAGCUCAUUUAGGUUUCCCUAGCCUUAGCCACCUGCAGAUUUUUCCAGUUCACCUCUCUGCCCUUCCUCUGCCCCUGGGCCUAUGGAAAGGGAGCAGAAGUGCAUUCAAGCCACUCAAGCCGAGAAGCUGAGAACAAAGGAAGGAAAGCGCCCUGCAUGGAGGUCAGGCCCGGGCCUGGUCUGAAUCACUCCUCUCUCCAGGAAGAACAUGAGGACAAGCAGGCCCAUAGUCCAGGAGGGACUAAGGAAUGGAAAAACAGCCCCCAGAAGCCCAGAAGAGGACAGAGAGGCGGGGCGGACACUGGACAAACCUCCUGCUGUCACACAGUUGGCUGCAUCUGACUGCAAGCUGUUGGCCCUGGCUUCUUCCCCAUCCUCCUCUCUGGCUUUUUCCCAGCUCAGGUCCAAGAUGGUUUACGGUCUGGGGGCAUAGACGAUGCCCUGCCCAGCCAGCUUUGUGGGAGCCAAGCAGAAGAGAUGCCAAUCCAUCCUCCCCCACCACUAGGAGGUUCCUUGGCCUCCCUGCUGAUCCCUUCCCUUGGCCUGACCCCCACAUCUCUCUGUGCCAGAUACUCUCCCAGGGUCCUCCAACCCUUGCACCUCUGGCAAAAAUGGGGCAGUGAGUCAGAGACAGUAUGAACAUGUGGAAGAACCAAGAGAAAGAGGAGACUCAGAGCAGGCCAGAAAGUAAGAUAAAAAGAAAUCCAGGGCCCCAGGCUUGCAGACCACAAACUCCUAGGUGUCUCCAAUUUUGGCAAUGUCCUUCAUCAAAGUGGGCGGCAGCGGGGGUGGAAGGCUAGGAAGCUAUUUAAAAGUGUUGGGACAUGCCAGGAAUUCUCUGAUAAACAAGAAGAGGGAUAUUGCGCCCCCCACGACCCAUCCCUUCAUCUCCCAAGGCAGAGAGCAGAGGCACUCUCAGCAAGGCAACCGCCACCCUCACUCCCCGCCACCCCCCACCCCAGGUAAAGGGCAAAAGAGAAGUGACCCAGUAAGGAGGGUGUGCCCUCGGCGCCUCUAGAACAAAGCUGAGCCCUCCGCCCCCUCCCCGGCUCCCUUAGCACCGCGCCUCAGUAAUUAAAAUAUGAAUUCACCUUC